UUUAACUGAAGAGUUUGAUCAUGGCUCAGAUUGAACGCUGGCGGCAGGCUUAACACAUGCAAGUCGAGCGGGGGAAGGUAGCUUGCUACUGGACCUAGCGGCGGACGGGUGAGUAAUGCUUAGGAAUCUGCCUAUUAGUGGGGGACAACAUCUCGAAAGGGAUGCUAAUACCGCAUACGUCCUACGGGAGAAAGCAGGGGAUCUUCGGACCUUGCGCUAAUAGAUGAGCCUAAGUCGGAUUAGCUAGUUGGUGGGGUAAAGGCCUACCAAGGCGACGAUCUGUAGCGGGUCUGAGAGGAUGAUCCGCCACACUGGGACUGAGACACGGCCCAGACUCCUACGGGAGGCAGCAGUGGGGAAUAUUGGACAAUGGGGGGAACCCUGAUCCAGCCAUGCCGCGUGUGUGAAGAAGGCCUUAUGGUUGUAAAGCACUUUAAGCGAGGAGGAGGCUACUUUAGUUAAUACCUAGAGAUAGUGGACGUUACUCGCAGAAUAAGCACCGGCUAACUCUGUGCCAGCAGCCGCGGUAAUACAGAGGGUGCGAGCGUUAAUCGGAUUUACUGGGCGUAAAGCGUGCGUAGGCGGCUUAUUAAGUCGGAUGUGAAAUCCCCGAGCUUAACUUGGGAAUUGCAUUCGAUACUGGUGAGCUAGAGUAUGGGAGAGGAUGGUAGAAUUCCAGGUGUAGCGGUGAAAUGCGUAGAGAUCUGGAGGAAUACCGAUGGCGAAGGCAGCCAUCUGGCCUAAUACUGACGCUGAGGUACGAAAGCAUGGGGAGCAAACAGGAUUAGAUACCCUGGUAGUCCAUGCCGUAAACGAUGUCUACUAGCCGUUGGGGCCUUUGAGGCUUUAGUGGCGCAGCUAACGCGAUAAGUAGACCGCCUGGGGAGUACGGUCGCAAGACUAAAACUCAAAUGAAUUGACGGGGGCCCGCACAAGCGGUGGAGCAUGUGGUUUAAUUCGAUGCAACGCGAAGAACCUUACCUGGCCUUGACAUACUAGAAACUUUCCAGAGAUGGAUUGGUGCCUUCGGGAAUCUAGAUACAGGUGCUGCAUGGCUGUCGUCAGCUCGUGUCGUGAGAUGUUGGGUUAAGUCCCGCAACGAGCGCAACCCUUUUCCUUACUUGCCAGCAUUUCGGAUGGGAACUUUAAGGAUACUGCCAGUGACAAACUGGAGGAAGGCGGGGACGACGUCAAGUCAUCAUGGCCCUUACGGCCAGGGCUACACACGUGCUACAAUGGUCGGUACAAAGGGUUGCUACACAGCGAUGUGAUGCUAAUCUCAAAAAGCCGAUCGUAGUCCGGAUUGGAGUCUGCACUCGACUCAUGAGUCGGAAUCGCUAGUAAUCGCGGAUCAGAAUGCCGCGGUGAAUACGUUCCCGGGCCUUGUACACACCGCCCGUCACACCAUGGGAGUUUGUUGCACCAGAAGUAGCUAGCCUAACUGCAAAGAGGGCGGUUACCACGGUGUGGCCGAUGACUGGGGUGAAGUCGUAACAAGGUAGCCGUAGGGGAACCUGCGGCUGGAUCACCUCCUUAA
rnacentral:rRNA from 1 species